rnacentral:rRNA from 1 species
UACGGUAGGGUCCGAGCGUUUGUCCGGAAUUAGCUGGGCGUAAAGAGCUCGUAGGUGGUUUGUCGACGUUGUUCGUGAAAACCCACAGCUCAACUGUGGGCGUGCGAGCGAUACGGGCAGACUAGAGUACUGCAGGGGAGACUGGAAUUCCUGGUGUAGCGGUGGAAUGCGCAGAUAUCAGGAAGAACACCCGUGGCGAAGGCGGUUCUCUGGGACGGUACUGACGCUGAGACGCGAAAGCGUGGGGAGCAAACGGG